CAGAGCGAGAGGACCCAGCAGCCAGGACCCAUGACCACAAGACGUGGAAGACAGAAGCGCUUCCAAGCAAAGUAAGUCUCCUCUCAGGGACUGUGAUGUCAGCGGCAAGGAGACAAGUGAGCCCUUCCUCAGGUACAGGGAAGGAGCGUGCUGCUGAGGCAGGUGUGCUGCUGAGGACGGGCCGACCAGAGCCAAGGGAGGGGUCAAGAGGACACAGAUGUCAGCUUGAGACACAGGAAGAAACCUAGGCAUCGUGAGGGGAACCUAAAUCCAAGCCAGGUGGUGUCAGGGCUGCGCACAUGUCAAGCCAGGUGGACGGUCAGCGCAUUCUCCCGCAGCCCCUCUGGGUGCAGAGACCAUGCCUGACGCCCGGUGAGACAGCACAGCCCCACCUCUGUUACCCUGAACCCAGGGAAAUCCCAAUCAUCUGCCGGCCCUGGAAAAUCAGAGGCCACGUGACCCAGCCACCAUGCAUUACGAGAUCACAAACCAGCUGAGAGACCACAAGUGACUCAAGCGUGUGAAAUGUGAAAACAAUCACAGGC